rnacentral:lncRNA from 1 species
AUGGUUGCCUAAGAAUCUAGAAUGGAAUGACAUCUGUAGCCAAACACCUCCAGGUGGAGAAAAGAUGGUCUUGUAAAGGACUUCCCAAGUGACUACGUUCCUUCGAAAACAACUGUGAAAAGUCAUGAUAAAUCUACAACAGCUGAAGAAAGCAGGAAACCUCAGUGCAAUGAAGAGGUCUACAUCAGAUGAGAAAAAACAACAGCAUGAAAUAUCUAAGCAAAAAUGAAGCCACAAGGAUGCUUUUUGUUCGGUUACUCUCURUUUGCGGUAAACUUGCCUUCUUGCAUUAAUAGUCUUGUAUCAUAGCUGAACCACUGCAAAUA